UCCAAGGCAGUCCUACAUCCUG
rnacentral:miRNA from 1 species